GACGAACGCUGGCGGCGUGCUUAACACAUGCAAGUCGAACGGUGAAGCGCCUUCCUUUUUGGUGGGUGUGGAUGAGUGGCGAACGGGUGAGUAACACGUGAGUAACCUGCCCCCUUCUUCUGGAUAACCGCAUGAAAGUGUGGCUAAUACGGGAUAUUCUGGGUCUGUCGCAUGAUGGGUCUGGGAAAGAUAUUGUUUCGGUGGGGGAUGGGCUCGCGGCCUAUCAGCUUGUUGGUGGGGUGAUGGCCUACCAAGGCGGUGACGGGUAGCCGGCCUGAGAGGGUGGACGGUCACACUGGGGCUGGGACACGGCCCAGACUCCUACGGGAGGCAGCGGUGGGGAAUAUUGCACAAUGGGCGCAAGCCUGAUGCAGCGACGCCGCGUGAGGGAUGGAGGCCUUCGGGUUGUGAACCUCUUUCGCCAGUGAAGCAGGCCUGCCUCGUUUGUGGGUGGGUUGACGGUAGCUGGAUAAGAAGCGCCGGCUAACUACGUG
rnacentral:rRNA from 1 species